UACGUAGGGUGCAAGCGUUGUCCGGAAUUAUUGGGCGUAAAGAGCUCGUAGGCGGUCUGUCGCGUCUGCUGUGAAAACUCAGGGCUUAACCCUAAGCUUGCAGUGGGUACGGGCAGACUAGAGUGCGGUAGGGGAGACUGGAAUUCCUGGUGUAGCGGUGAAAUGCGCAGAUAUCAGGAGGAACACCGAUGGCGAAGGCAGGUCUCUGGGCCACUACUGACGCUGAGAAGCGAAAGCAUGGGGAGCGAACAGG
rnacentral:rRNA from 1 species